GACGUCGAUAUUCGACGUCAUAAACACGAUCAACUUUGGUGUUUAUGAUGUCGAUAUUUGACGUCAUAAUCACGAUCAAAUUUGUUGUUCAUGAUGUCGAUAUUCGACGUCAUAAACACGAUCGACUUGGGGGUUGAUGACAUCGAUAUUCGAAGUC
rnacentral:miRNA from 1 species